CCUACGGGUGGCAGCAGUGGGGGAUAUUGCACAAUGGGGGAAACCCUGAUGCAGCGACGCCGCGUGUGGGAAGACGGUCUUCUGGAUUGUAAACCACUGUCCCCAGGGACGAAAAUGACGGUACCUGGGGAGGAAGCUCCGGCUAACUACGUGCCAGCAGCCGCGGUAAUACGUAGGGAGCAAGUGUUGUCCGGAAUUACUGGGUGUAAAGGGAGCGUAGGCGGGGAUGCAAGUUGGGUGUAAAAACUACCGGCUCAACCGAUAGUCGCACUCAAAACUGCAGCUCUUGAGUGAAGUAGAGGCAGGCGGAAUUCCUAGUGUAGCGGUGAAAUGCGGAGAUAUUAGGAGGAACACCAGUGGCGAAGGCGGCCUGCUGGGCUUUUACUGACGCUGAGGCUCGAAAGUGUGGGGAGCAAACAGGAUUAGAUACCCGUGUAGUC
rnacentral:rRNA from 1 species